rnacentral:rRNA from 1 species
AGUGAACGCUGGCGGUAGGCCUAACACAUGCAAGUCGAACGGCAGCACAGUAAGAGCUUGCUCUUACGGGUGGCGAGUGGCGGACGGGUGAGGAAUACAUCGGAAUCUACUUUUUCGUGGGGGAUAACGUAGGGAAACUUACGCUAAUACCGCAUACGACCUACGGGUGAAAGCAGGGGAUCUUCGGACCUUGCGCGAUUGAAUGAGCCGAUGUCGGAUUAGCUAGUUGGCGGGGUAAAGGCCCACCAAGGCGACGAUCCGUAGCUGGUCUGAGAGGAUGAUCAGCCACACUGGAACUGAGACACGGUCCAGACUCCUAAGGGAGGCAGCAGUGGGGAAUAUUGGACAAUGGGCGCAAGCCUGAUCCAGUCAUACCGCGUGGGUGAAGAAGGCCUUCGGGUUGUAAAGCCCUUUUGUUGGGAAAGAAAAGCAGCAGGUUAAUACCCCGCUGUUCUGACGGUACCCAAAGAAUAAGCACCGGCUAACUUCGUG